AAUUCAAUUUCUGUUGAAGAGUAGAACAUCAAGAAGAACAUUCUUAGUUGCCUGAAAAAAUUUGACCACUCUACUCCAGUCAGUGCAUAAAUAGCCAAUAGCCUGAAGGCGCUGUACCACCAUCAGUGCUGUUCACAUCCAGUAUCAAGUUUCUGUUUGGGUCCAGGAAGAUUGUUCAUACUUUGAGUUCCAAACUUUUGUGAAACAACAUUGCCACCUCACCACCUGAUCUGUGCUAAAUGAAAGACGUGUGCAUUUCAUAAUCAUUGAAGAUUGAUGCAAGUGCAUGCAUUCUGGAAAUCCUAGUCUCACCGACAGCUGCCAUAUCUAUAUCUACUAACCUUAGGUCAUUGAGCAAAUGACCUUACUUUGACGUCAACUCUGGGUUGCAUGCAUUUUGUACAACCUAUCCUGAAUAUUACCAUAUUAGACAAAAUAAAAGGAGUAAGAAGUCACUAUAGUCAUGAUAAUGUAUGUAUAAUCUUGUCUUCUUAACUGAGAAAGGUCUCGAAAAGGCUUCUCCAAAAGGUUCUUGUCCUCUCCACUGCAAAACAUUCCCAUGUCAUAUGGGAAUUUUCCUUUCAGUAUCAUGUAGAAUGCUAUUAACAUUUUAAACAGAAAUCUAUGUGCUGAGAGUUUUAAUAAUGAACUCUUCAAAGGUCUCCACUUUUGUGUAUUUUUUUUAUUUUGCAUUGUGCCAUGUACCUCAUCAACUCUUUGUUGUUUCUAUUUACAACAGUGAACUUGUUAAGGAGUGGUUUUGUUUUUGGCUGUUGGUGUUGCAGUUUUAUUUCUUUUAAUGUUUUAGUGAUGUUGUGUUUGUGUUGUUCGUGGUGGUGGGGUUGCUGAUUUAGCUGUUAUUUUGAUUAUUCUUAUGUUUGUUGUAUUAGUAGUAGUAGUGGUGGUGGUGGUUUGUGCAUGUGGCUGUUUGAUGAGUUCUUUGCCUUUCUGUUGGACUUUCUGGCUUUCAGCUUGAGGUAGUGGUGGGGAGACUGUUAUUCUCUUCUUCGCCACUGACUAAGAUAAGUGGCUUUCAUUUUAACUUCACCACAUCUCAGGAUCUGAGUAGUUUGAUCUGAAAGUGAUGAAGGUAAGUAUGCUCAUGUGUUUGUGUUUUACCGGAGAGGGCAUGCUGAGAUGCUUUUGGUUGUUUUUCAUUUUUUUUUUAAUGGAGUUGCGAUGUUUCUACUGCUGUAAAUGUGGGGUUGGCAGCAGUGUUAUUUACUUAAGCCCUUCAAUCCCUAAGAGCAGGGGUCAUCAAACUUUUUUCACGGUGGGCCAGAUAACUGAGAGAAUGAUGAGUGCAACCACAUAACUAUUUUGUUCAAUACAAUACAGUGAUUAUACAAAAAAUAAAGACAACCAACAUUUUUAUUUACCAAAAAUUUAUCAAAGAAGGCAACGUUAACAAUAAGAUUGUGUAGUGUUG